rnacentral:lncRNA from 1 species
GUGCUAAACACCGCAUUUGUUAAUAUAGUUUUGGUUUUGUUUUUUAGUACGCACUCCAUGUUACGCUCUCAAAGCCAUUUGAUUUUACUGCGGUGAGUUGGCAUCAAUUUAUGGUUAUUUGUAAAGCAAAAAGGACUGCGAGAACACUUUCAACAAAAUAAAAAAAAAAUGACUAAGAUUUUCAAUUGCUAUCUUUUAUCAGUCUGACAUGCCUAUAAUCAGGAAGUGGUGGUGCUAUCAGUUAAUUCAGACAUUUCCUCUGACAAGUCAAGUCCAACAACUAGUCACCCAGGAACAAGAACUACCAAAUCCAGAAGACAUGGAAGUCACUCCACCUGAGUCAGAAAUCAUGGAGAUCACCCCAACACCAGGAAUCUAUGUAUGUAGAGGGAAUGUUUAUGUAUUGCUUGACUUGGUUAUGUAUUUAACUUUCCUGUUUCAUAAAGGUGUUUAUGAGCAGCACUUAUUAAUUACAUUAUUAUUGGAAUUCUUAUAUUGCACACAGGACUCAGCGGUGAUGAAAAACAUUCAGCUGGCCUGUAAGUGGGUGGAGGAGAACCAACACCACUUUGCUGGGAAGAUUGAACUGCCAAAGAUCUUAAGGAUGAAGGAGGAUGAUGCCUUGUUGGCUAUCGCAAUGCGAGACUUGUUCAUAAACACCAUGUUUUAUGAAGGUGAAAGGGAUGAAGAACAAAUUCGGGCUCCCUUCCUUUUCACUUUUCAGAGAGUAGAGGACAUGGAAUUAUUCUUGCAGGAAAUACGAGACAAAAGAGAUAUCCGUGUGUCUUGUUUACACAACCCUCAUUUGUGAAUCUACCAGUGGGUUACGGUUACUAUAAUGUAAAUAUUGAUUUUUGUUUUGUAAAAUUUCAUUAAUAUUUUGUGUGAAAAGAAGUGUUGUGUUCUUGAAAUAUAUUUAUGAUAUUUAUUAUUUUAUAUCUUGCUA